GACACUGUGUGUUGUUGGGUAGGGGAGCGUUCUGUAAGCCUGUGAAGGUGGCCUGUGAGGGUUGCUGGAGGUAUCAGAAGUGCGAAUGCUGACAUAAGUAACGAUAAAGCGGGUGAAAAGCCCGCUCGCCGGAAGACCAAGGGUUCCUGUCCAACGUUAAUCGGGGCAGGGUGAGUCGACCCCUAAGGCGAGGCCGAAAGGCGUAGUCGAUGGGAAACGGGUUAAUAUUCCCGUACUUGGUGUUACUGCGAAGGGGGGACGGAGAAGGCUAUGUUGGCCGGGCGACGGUUGUCCCGGUUUAAGCGUGUAGGUGUGUGUUCCAGGUAAAUCCGGUUCACUUUAACACUGAGGCGUGACGACGAGGCACUACGGUGCUGAAGCAACAAAUGCCCUGCUUCCAGGAAAAGCCUCUAAGCAUCAGGUAACAUCAAAUCGUACCCCAAACCGACACAGGUGGUCAGGUAGAGAAUACCAAGGCGCUUGAGAGAACUCGGGUGAAGGAACUAGGCAAAAUGGUGCCGUAACUUCGGGAGAAGGCACGCUGACACGUAGGUGAAGUGAUUUACUCAUGGAGCUGAAGUCAGUCGAAGAUACCAGCUGGCUGCAACUGUUUAUUAAAAACACAGCACUGUGCAAACACGAAAGUGGACGUAUACGGUGUGACGCCUGCCCGGUGCCGGAAGGUUAAUUGAUGGGGUCAGCGCAAGCGAAGCUCCUGAUCGAAGCCCCGGUAAACGGCGGCCGUAACUAUAACGGUCCUAAGGUAGCGAAAUUCCUUGUCGGGUAAGUUCCGACCUGCACGAAUGGCGUAAUGAUGGCCAGGCUGUCUCCACCCGAGACUCAGUGAAAUUGAACUCGCUGUGAAGAUGCAGUGUACCCGCGGCAAGACGGAAAGACCCCGUGAACCUUUACUAUAGCUUGACACUGAACAUUGAGCCUUGAUGUGUAGGAUAGGUGGGAGGCUUUGAAGUGUGGACGCCAGUCUGCAUGGAGCCGACCUUGAAAUACCACCCUUUAAUGUUUGAUGUUCUAACGUGGACCCGUUACCCGGGUUGCGGACAGUGUCUGGUGGGUAGUUUGACUGGGGCGGUCUCCUCCUAAAGAGUAACGGAGGAGCACGAAGGUUGGCUAAUCCUGGUCGGACAUCAGGAGGUUAGUGCAAUGGCAUAAGCCAGCUUGACUGCGAGCGUGACGGCGCGAGCAGGUGCGAAAGCAGGUCAUAGUGAUCCGGUGGUUCUGAAUGGAAGGGCCAUCGCUCAACGGAUAAAAGGUACUCCGGGGAUAACAGGCUGAUACCGCCCAAGAGUUCAUAUCGACGGCGGUGUUUGGCACCUCGAUGUCGGCUCAUCACAUCCUGGGGCUGAAGUAGGUCCCAAGGGUAUGGCUGUUCGCCAUUUAAAGUGGUACGCGAGCUGGGUUUAGAACGUCGUGAGACAGUUCGGUCCCUAUCUGCCGUGGGCGCUGGAGAACUGAGGGGGGCUGCUCCUAGUACGAGAGGACCGGAGUGGACGCAUCACUGGUGUUCGGGUUGUCAUGCCAAUGGCACUGCCCGGUAGCUAAAUGCGGAAGAGAUAAGUGCUGAAAGCAUCUAAGCACGAAACUUGCCCCGAGAUGAGUUCUCCCUGAGACUUAGAGUCUCCUGAAGGAACGUUGAAGACGACGACGU
rnacentral:rRNA from 1 species